rnacentral:rRNA from 1 species
CCUACGGGGGGCAGCAGUGGGGAAUAUUGGACAAUGGGGGCAACCCUGAUCCAGCCAUGCCGCGUGUGUGAAGAAGGCCCUCGGGUUGUAAAGCACUUUCAGUGAGGAAGAACGCCUGGUGGUUAAUACCCAUCAGGAAAGACAUCACUCACAGAAGAAGCACCGGCUAACUCCGUGCCAGCAGCCGCGGUAAUACGGAGGGUGCGAGCGUUAAUCGGAAUUACUGGGCGUAAAGCGCGCGUAGGUGGCUUGAUAAGCCGGUUGUGAAAGCCCCGGGCUCAACCUGGGAACGGCAUCCGGAACUGUCAAGCUAGAGUGCAGGAGAGGAAGGUAGUAUUCCCGGUGUAGCGGUGAAAUGCGUAGAGAUCGGGAGGAAUACCAGUGGCGAAGGCGGCCUUCUGGACUGACACUGACACUGAGGUGCGAAAGCGUGGGUAGCAAACAGGAUUAGAUACCCCGGUAGUC